rnacentral:rRNA from 1 species
GAUGAACGCUGGCGGCGUGCCUAACACAUGCAAGUCGAACGGAGUCCAGCCUUUAAGACCUUCGGGUCAAAGAGGGGAAGAUUGAGUGGCGGACGGGUGAGUAACACGUGGGCAACCUGGCUCAUAGAGGGGGAUAACAGAGAGAAAUUUCUGCUAAUACCGCAUAAGCACACACUGCCGCAUGGCAGAGGGUGAAAAGAGAAUCGCUAUGAGAUGGACCCGCGUCUGAUUAGCCAGUUGGCAGGGUAAGAGCCUACCAAAGCGACGAUCAGUAGCCGAUCUGAGAGGAUGAACGGCCACAUUGGGACUGAGACACGGCCCAAACUCCUACGGGAGGCAGCAGUGGGGGAUAUUGCACAAUGGGGGGAACCCUGAUGCAGCGACGCCGCGUGAGUGAAGAAGUAUUUCGGUAUGUAAAGCUCUAUCAGCAGGGAAGAUAAUGACAGUACCUGAAUAAGAAGCCCCGGCUAACUACGUG